UUGUUUUAGACUUGCUAAACCGAAUCGACGGCAAUCGGAGGACAGGAGAGGAACUAAAAAAGUUGGCAUCGCAAGAGAAGGAAUAUAUUUUAUUCUGGAAUUCAUGGUCGAGUAAAUCCGGCCGAGAUGGCGGGCUUUCCUGGAGCGUCCCAGAAUAUUAGAAACAAGCGAAGCGCUAUCUUUUCCGGAUAGGAUUUUACCAAGUCAAUAAGGUCCUUUACAAUCCCGCCUUAUACCCAGGACGAAGGUGGGAAUAAAGUGCUAUUGCAUUAUUCAAGUGUCUAUUCCGUCCGAGUAGUGAGUAAACAUGAGCACGUAGAACAGAAGAAUACUGGAAACUCGGGAGUUCUUGUAACAACAAUCGGGCAAGGUUUUAGGGAUGAAUCCCUACUGCCGCUAACUUGAUUCUACAAUCACCGCCGCACUUAGAGGGAUUUAAAAAUUUAGCUGAGAAUCAAUAUUUCAAGCUACUUCCUUAACGUUUUAUAUUUAUUUUUGUUGUAGGUUCCUCCGCUUUUACAUAAAUUGGUAAUUGGAUAGCGAAGUGUACAUAUGGGAUAAGCCAUCACCGUUGAUCUAUAUAUAUGACAACUUUCUUAAUGAAUUGAAAUUCCGCCAACAAUGUCAACAUGGGGAUAGAAUACACACAAUUCGUGCCAACGUUGAUUGGUCCGACUUUGGAAAACUCCUCGAACAAAAGAACUUCGGUUUUCAAGUUUUCUUAGAUACCCCACUUCUAUAUUUCAAUCAAGGUCCAGUUUUUCAGUUUAAAACAAUUAAAUACGUGCCUAAAUUAAAAUAAUUUAAAAUUCCACCAUGUUUUACGGCUACUGUGUUUAUCAUGCACGUACAGCUUGUUCUUCUCCGAGUCGGAUCUCGAGUAAAAAUAAAAUGUAGUCAAAUCACUUGUCAACUUUUUAGAAUUUGAUUAAAUUGCGGUUCUAUUAAAUUAAAAACUUAACUGGCAUUCAUUCGCGCCAGUCACGCAUGAAAAUGUAAAGCAGAUCUGCCAGAAAAACAGGAAGAUACGCCCGAUUAAAUAAUUUAGUUUUCGACUUUUUGCGUUAUCGCUCAGGUAAUGGCUUCAAAUCAUUUCAUCCGCUUACGUAUAACGGUAACUACUUAUCACAGACGAUUUGAGAACAAAAUUGGCUCAUCUUCGCCUCCAGAAAGGGACGACACUAAAUUAUAAUAAUAUGAUCGUUAUAUGUGAGCCAUAAACGUCUCGGUAUUAAAAUUGCUCAAAAUUUAUUUACUUUCCUCGCGCAAACGUCUACACCUCGGGUCGCCGAAAUUUAUGUGUGCGUUCAAAAAUUGAUCGAAGAAGUCUUUGGCAAAAUUUCAACGAGAAAAAAAAGAAAACGGACAACAAUAUUUUUUGUCGCUCUCAAAACUAUAAGUUAGAAUUUUAACAAAAAUUGCUAUACUAAAUAUGUCGGAAACGAUAGCUUGAUUUACGAUUUUUAUGAAUCGGAACUUGAAUGUAUAUAUUUUCUACGGCCAGUUUCCGCUCAUAUUGAUUUAUGAACACAACUAGGGGGUUAUUGUUGUAUUUUAUUGUUUUAUUUUCGUCGUAUGUUAUGUUCGCAAGUGGCGGUUAUGAUUGGACUAUAAAAUUCAUAUUGUGCUCUCGUGCUUUACAUUUUUGGGUGCACAUGCCAAUCUGACACAUUGCUACAAUGUCUUCAUUAAGAUGGUUCCGGGGUUGGUUGCAACCAUUACCCGCAAAGAUAGAUUUAGACAGCCGGCGAUUAUUCAUCUUUUGCAUAAUGUAUCUGGCAGUUACUUACUCUACAAUCUAAAAGUGCCCUUUAGGAAAAGCGAAAUUUUUAAGGCUACAACAUAAACCACCGACGUGGAUUUAAAUCCUAUACUUGAUUUUUCAAAAUUUGUUAAUUGUUUGUGGGUGUCUGACUUUAUCGAACAACUCAAAGUUUAAAUUUUGGACAAGUUAGCUCCGUUGCUUUUCACUGUCGAGAUAUCAUUAUUGCAAUAUCACUCUAAAAAUAAUAUUCAUUUGGGUUUUGCGUACAGCAAUCCUUGUUUGCGGGGGUACACCAAAUAUUUUUACUUCUUUAAUGUGUUAUGUUUAAAUGAUAUAUAAGCAACCCUCCAGUUUCCCUCCUAAAAUGGGUUUUCAGAAUAAAAUUACCUAAUUUUUUUUAGGAAGGUAAAACUUACAUAUAUAGGAAUCCUACCUUAAGGGGGUUGUAACUUUUGUGGUACAUUAAAUAUUUUUGUUUUUUCGUAAAUUACGAUUCGUUUAGAUAUUUCGAACACUGCUACUCCACCACCUUCAUCAACACGGUUCCAUAGCUGGAACCUUUACUCUCUCCCUUGGGAAUGAUUAGUUAUAUUAUAGGGGUUGAAGAUCAUUGUUUGUACCAAAUCAAAUUGAUCCUUUACGACAGUGGUAAAAAUAUUUUACCCACGGUUAACUCUAAAAGUCC